GCGCCGGUAGUGUAGCGGUUAUCACCGGGCGUUGCCAACGCUCGAACUCGGGUUCGAUUCCCGACCGGCGCA
rnacentral:tRNA from 1 species